rnacentral:pre_miRNA from 1 species
AAUGUUUGAUGCCGUUGACUUUUUAAGCACAUGUUUGACCAUUCGUCUUAUUCAAAAAAUUUAAAUAAUUAUUAAUUCUUUUCUUAUCAUUUGAUUCAUUGUUAAAUAUAUUUUUAUGUAGGCAUAUAAUUUUACAUAUUUCACAAAAGUUUUUAAUAAGACGAACGGUCAAACAUGUGCUAAAAAGUCAACGGUGUCAAAUAUU